AUUGAACGCUGGCGGCAGGCUUACCACAUGCAAGUCGAGCGAGCGGCGGACGGGUGAGUAAUGUAUGGGAAAGUGCCCGAUGGCGGGGGAUAACUACUGGAAAGAGUGGCUAAUACCGCAUACCAUUAGAGGUGCCGAUAUGGGAUUAGCUAGUAGGUGGGGUAAUGGCUAACCUAGGCGCCGAUCCCUAGCUGGUCUGAGAGGACGACCAGCGACACUGAAACUGAGACACGGUCCAGACGCCGACGGGAGGCAGAAGUAGGGAAUAUUGCACAAUGGGCGAAAGCCUGAUCCAGACAUGCGGCGUGUGUGAAGAAGGCCUUAGGGUUGUAAAGCACUUUCAGCGAGGAGGCGUUACUCGCAGAAUAAGCACCGGCUAACUCCGUGCCAGCCGCCGCGGUAAUAC
rnacentral:rRNA from 1 species